CCGAGAGAAGCUGUAUUCUGGAGAUCAGCUCCAGGUUCUCCCGCAGAGAGCAAGCUCCAGGCACAGGCAAAGGGUGUGGCUUCAGAGAAGAGCGAGGAUCUUGCCAUCUCUUUUACAGCUGUUGUCUGCCUUUGAGUCACACAGAACCACUUGCAGGAAGAACUCUAGAGAAUUUGGGAAGAAAGGGGGAGAGGACAGACAAAAGAUGCAUUUUUCUUUCAAGAAGCAGGAAAAUGUAAGGAAAAUUGAAGGUGUUCUCAAGUGUGUCUGCUGCUGCCUGACACAGGUUAACCCCGUCGCAGGUCACUCCGCUCUGUUAAUUGCAUCCUAACCUUCCUCGGCUCUUCGGCAGCGAAAUCGCAGCAGAGGAGAUGGAGCAGCUUCGUGCGCAUUGCUCAUUUGCGCCAACGUGAAAAGAACUGCCAGGAUGCCCAGGACACCAGCUCCCUGGCUUCUGCGGUGCUUGCACAGUCCUGAAUCAGCCCGAGAGCUGUGGAUCUGCGUCCCCUGGCUGCAUAGCCGACUGCCGGCUCCAUGGAGGGGCCUGUGCCGGAGAACGCACAUGUUGACUUAUUUCUUCAGUCUAGGCCUUUCUUG
rnacentral:lncRNA from 1 species